UAACCUGCCUUGGAGUGGGGAAUAACACAUCGAAAGAUGUGCUAAUACCGCAUAAUGCAGUUGGGCCGCAUGGCUCUGACUGCCAAAGAUUUAUCGCUCUGAGAUGGACUCGCGUCUGAUUAGCUGGUUGGCGGGGUAACGGCCCACCAAGGCGACGAUCAGUAGCCGGACUGAGAGGUUGACCGGCCACAUUGGGACUGAGACACGGCCCAGACUCCUACGGAAGGCAGCAG
rnacentral:rRNA from 1 species